rnacentral:rRNA from 1 species
ACAUGCAGUCGAGGGGUUAAGAGAGCUUGCUUUCUUAGAGACCGGCGCACGGGUGCGUCACGUGUAUGCAAUCUACCUUACUCAGGGGGAUAGCCCGAAGAAACUCGGAUUAACACCGCAUAACAUAUAGUUUCGGCAUCGGAGUUAUAUCAAAUAUUUAUAGGAGUAAGAUGAGCAUGCGUGACAUUAGCUAGUUGGUAAGGUAACGGCUUACCAAGGCGACGAUGUCUAGGGGAUCUGAGAGGAUGACCCCCCGCACUGGUACUGAGACACGGACCAGACUCCUACGGGAGGCAGCAGUAAGGAAUAUUGGUCAAUGGGCGAAAGCCUGAACCAGCCAUGCCGCGUGCAGGAGGACGGCCCUAUGGGUUGUAAACUGCUUUUGUACCGGAAUAAACCUGAUUAUGUAUAGUCAGCUGAAUGUACGGUAAGAAUAAGGAUCGGCUAACUCCGUGCCAGCAGCCGCGGUAAUACGGAGGAUCCAAGCGUUAUCCGGAUUUAUUGGGUUUAAAGGGUGCGUAGGCGGCUUGUUAAGUCAGAGGUGAAAGACGGUAGCUCAACUAUCGCAGUGCCUUUGAUACUGAUGAGCUUGAAUGAAGU